rnacentral:rRNA from 1 species
GCACAAGCGGUGGAUGAUGUGGAUUAAUUCGAUGCAACGCGAACGAACCUUACCUACCCUUGACAUGUCCGGAACUUGCCAGAGAUGGCUUGGUGCCCGAAAGGGAAUCGGAACACAGGUGCUGCAUGGCUGUCGUCAGCUCGUGUCGUGAGAUGUUGGGUUAAGUCCCACAACGAGCGCAACCCUUAUCAUUAGUUGCUACGCAAGGGCACUCUAAUGAGACUGCCGGUGACAAACCGGAGGAAGGUGGGGAUGACGUCAAGUCCUCAUGGCCCUUAUGGGUAGGGCUUCACACGUCAUACAAUGGUCGGUACAGAGGGUUGCCAAGCCGCGAGGCGGAGCCAAUCCCACAAAGCCGAUCGUAGUCCGGAUUGUUCUCUGCAACUCGAGAGCAUGAAGUCGGAAUCGCUAGUAAUCGCAGGUCAGCAUACUACGGUGAAUACGUUCCCGGGUCUU